rnacentral:rRNA from 1 species
AGUCGAGCGAGAUCAACUUGCUUCAAUCCUUCGGGAGAGAAGCUUGUUGUGAGAGCGGCGAACGGGUGAGUAAUAUAUGGGUAAUUUACCUCUUUGUUCGGGAUAGCCAUCGGAAACGAUGAUUAAUACCGAAUGUGUUCAGGAACUGCAUAGUUCCCUAUACAAAGGCGGGGAUCUUCGGACCUGUCGCAAAGAGAUAAGCCCAUAUCCUAUCAGCUUGUUGGUGAGGUAAUGGCUCACCAAGGCUUACGGGUAGCUGGUCUGAGAGGAUGAUCAGCCACACUGGAACUGAGAUACGGUCCAGACUCCUACGGGAGGCUGCAGUCGAGAAUCAUUGUCAAUGCACGAAAGUGUGAACAUGCGACGCCGCGUGGAGGAAGACGGCCUUCGGGUUGUAAACUCCUGUCAGCAGGAAGGAAUAAUCAGACAAUUAAUACUUGUUUGAUUUGACAGUACCUGCAGAGGAAGUCACGGCUAACUCUGUGCCAGCAGCCGCGGUAAUACAGAGGUGGCGAACGUUGUUCGGAUUUACUGGGCGUAAAGGGUCCGCAGGCGGUCUUGUGUGUCGGAUGUGAAAGCUCACGGCUCAACCGUGGAAUUGCAUUCGAAACUGCAAGACUAGAGUACUGGAGGGGAGAAGGGAACACUUGGUGUAGCGGUGAAAUGCGUAGAUAUCAAGUGGAACACCGGAGGCGAAGGCGCUUCUCUGGACAGAUACUGACGCUCAUGGACGAAAGUUAGGGUAGCGAAAGGGAUUAGAUACCCCUGUAGUCCUAACCGUAAACGGUGUGCGCUAGGCGUGGGUGGCUUUACCCCCAUCCGUGCCUG